rnacentral:rRNA from 1 species
CUGGCGGCGUGCUUAACACAUGCAAGUCGAACGAUGAUGCCCAGCUUGCUGGGUGGAUUAGUGGCGAACGGGUGAGUAACACGUGAGCAACCUGCCCUUGACUCUGGGAUAAGCCUGGGAAACUGGGUCUAAUACCGGAUAGGACUCCUCAUCGCAUGGUGGGGGGUGGAAAGCCUUGUGCGGUCUUGGAUGGGCUCGCGGCCUAUCAGCUUGUUGGUGGGGUGAUGGCCUACCAAGGCGACGACGGGUAGCCGGCCUGAGAGGGUGACCGGCCACACUGGGACUGAGACACGGCCCAGACUCCUACGGGAGGCAGCAGUGGGGAAUAUUGCACAAUGGGCGCAAGCCUGAUGCAGCGACGCCGCGUGGGGGAUGACGGCCUUCGGGUUGUAAACCCCUUUCAGCAGGGGACAAGCCUUUCGGGGUGAGGGUACCUGCAGAAGAAGCGCCGGCUAACUACGUGCCAGCAGCCGCGGUAAUACGUAGGGCGCGAGCGUUAUCCGGAAUUAUUGGGCGUAAAGAGCUCGUAGGCGGUUUGUCGCGUCUGCUGUGAAAGCCCGGGGCUCAACCCCGGGUCUGCAGUGGGUACGGGCAGGCUGGAGUGCAGUAGGGGAGACUGGAAUUCCUGGUGUAGCGGUGAAAUGCGCAGAUAUCAGGAGGAACACCGAUGGCGAAGGCAGGUCUCUGGGCUGUAACUGACGCUGAGGAGCGAAAGCAUGGGGAGCGAACAGGAUUAGAUACCCUGGUAGUCCAUGCCGUAAACGUUGGGCACUAGGUGUGGGGGCCAUUCCACGGUUUCCGCGCCGCAGCUAACGCAUUAAGUGCCCCGCCUGGGGAGUACGGCCGCAAGGCUAAAACUCAAAGGAAUUGACGGGGGCCCGCACAAGCGGCGGAGCAUGCGGAUUAAUUCGAUGCAACGCGAAGAACCUUACCAAGGCUUGACAUGUGCCGGACCGUCCCAGAGAUGGGGCUUCCCUUCGGGGCCGGUUCACAGGUGGUGCAUGGUUGUCGUCAGCUCGUGUCGUGAGAUGUUGGGUUAAGUCCCGCAACGAGCGCAACCCUCGUUCCAUGUUGCCAGCACGUGAUGGUGGGGACUCAUGGGAGACUGCCGGGGUCAACUCGGAGGAAGGUGGGGACGACGUCAAAUCAUCAUGCCCCUUAUGUCUUGGGCUUCACGCAUGCUACAAUGGCCGGUACAAAGGGUUGCGAUACUGUGAGGUGGAGCCAAUCCCAGAAAGCCGGUCUCAGUUCGGAUUGGGGUCUGCAACUCGACCCCAUGAAGUCGGAGUCGCUAGUAAUCGCAGAUCAGCAACGCUGCGGUGAAUACGUUCCCGGGCCUUGUAC